UGAAGGUUAUGAUAACAAGGGGGGUGUUAUUUCUAGAAACAAUGUAUAUUAAUAGACAAGAUAAUUCACAGAAAAGGAAGGACAGUUGGUCUUGUAAAAAUAUAGGGACAAGAACAUUACACACACCUAGAUUAUGGUAAAAGUAAUAAGUAGUGGCAUUUUGAAGAAGCUUAGGACUUAGUUUUGUUAGGAUUGGAUAUUCUUUCAACUGGAAGACACUUGACUGAGUACAUGUUAUUCUUACAGCAGUUGCUGUAGGGACCAUAACUUGGAUAUCAUUAUGAAUAUUUUUGUGGCAAGAGGUCAGGUAUUUGAGACAGAAUGUUUACAUAGGGCUGUUAUUUAAAAAUUAAGAUUUAGUGGUCUUGCUAUAAGAAAGUCUGUUGUCAGGAAAUAACCCAUGUGUUAGUAUGUAUGUUCCCAGGAAAAGAGCACAUAAGACGCCAGAUGGAAGGGCAUGGGCUGAAUUCUGGAGACUGAGUGUACAUCAAGAUACACCGGGCUGGGGAUAUACUUCUUACAGCACCUGCAGUGGUAAAGAUCGUCAUGUCUCUCUUUGAUGGGUGCAUAAGUUUCACAAGAAGUAAGGUCCAGCUGAAUAAUGGUCUUUUGUUUAGGAAACCAGAUGGAGAAGGGUUCUCCAGCUUCAGCUGGAAUGUCAGUUUGUGUGAUGAGUGAUGGAAGUAAGAGAAUGUAUGGUGUAAUCGUAGAACAGAGGCCAUAAGUCUUUAAGUAUGAAUGCCCCACAGAAAGAAGGCAGAAACCUGAACCAGGACGAGAGGUUCCACAUCUGAUGAUCCAAGGGGACCAGAAGGACCUCUCCCAGUGAUACCAGGAGAUCCAGUCUACGGUCGAGUGUUCCGAAGAAAGUGGGAUCAGCCGAGGAGGGAAGGACCCUACGAGGUGGCAACGGCCACAAACAAGGCCGUCCAAGUGAAAGGAAGCAAGACGUGGUAUCAUCUAAACCACUGCACCUGAGUCUCGACGGAGAGAAGGACACAACCAUACAGAGAUGAGGACACAGAGGAUGCUGAUUCACCAGAGGGGACCCCGGAGGGAGCAGGAGCAGCGGAAUCGAUCAAAGCCCCGGGGAGGACUCAAGAAAAUGGCAGACCAAAUACAACGAGUGCAUCAGCUAACACACUCCGAAGAAGCACCAGGGGAAAAGAGCCUGAAAAGAAAAGAGACAAACGACCAAAGUUUCCUCCAGUAUGGCCAGAAAGCCCAGAAGUGGGAGGGGGUAACAUGUCUGCCACUCCUGA